CACGUAGGGGGCGAGCGUUGUCCGGAAUCAUUGGGCGUAAAGAGCUCGUAGGCGGCUCAGUAAGUCGGGUGUGAAACCCCCAGGCUCAACCUGGGGACGCCACCCGAUACUGCUGUGGCUAGAGUCCAGUAGGGGAGUGUGGAAUUCCCGGUGUAGCGGUGAAAUGCGCAGAUAUCAGGAGGAACACCGGUGGCGAAGGCGGGUCUCUGGGCCGAUACUGACGCUGAGGAGCGAAAGCGUGGGGAGCGAACAGGG
rnacentral:rRNA from 1 species